AACAUCGCGCACCUGCGGGAACCUGCGGAGGGAUCAUUACAGAGUGUUUAACCCCCUAUAAAAUGGUGGGUCUAACCUCCCGUCCUUUGCUGGGUCCCCCUUCUGGAGGACUUUCAAAACUUUCUGCUUCGGCGGGGUAUACCCGCCGGAACACCCUCAAAAAAUUCUUGAUCAAAAUGGUUCGGUCCGAGAAACUUUUUGUGAAAAUUAGCGAAAAACUUUCAACAACGGAUCUCAGAU
rnacentral:misc_RNA from 1 species